GACCAGAUGGCUCAAUUGGUAGAGCGUCCGUCUAAAGUUCGGAGGGUCCCGGGUUCGAACUCCGGUCUUGCUG
rnacentral:tRNA from 1 species